GCUCACUUGACACUGCUCGUCCCUCAACUCACUCAACCCUUUCUUCCCCUUCGUCUCCCCCACCCCCACCCCGGCACGCCUCGCCUCGCUUCCUUUCUCCCCUGCCGCCGCCGGCGCCACCCCACCCCCCGGCCGGCCUCCCCCACCGCAGCCGGCGCGACCCAAGCCCCGGCCUCCGCUGCCGCCGCUGGCGCGCCCCACUCCCGCGCGCCCCCACACCAGGCCUCCCUAGUUGCCACCGCCCCCAGCCCCCGGCAUUUUAUCUCUUCCCCAAAUACCAGCCGCCUGCGCCUUAGGGUUGUUGCUGCAGCGCCACCACCGCGGCUUACUUCCUCGCGCCGCUUCUGCCGCCCGGGUUUCCGCAGGCCGCAACUACUCACGUUGGUCGCUGGGGUUGCUUGUUGGCCGGCUGAUUAUUUUGCCGCAAAUUGCGAAGUGUGGAGUUUGGUUACGGUACCUUCAGUGGUCUUGAUUAAUUAGUUGGAUGAUUAGAUACGAGAGCUUGGUGCUGGGCAGGUGACAUAAUUUCUUUCUCAGGUUCUAUGUGCCAUUUGGUAUUGCUGAAUAGUUCCCACUUUGAUUUGUUUUGCUUGACGUGGUGUCGCUGCCGGAGGUGGAGCCCAUGUGCCUCCUCGACGCUGGUAUCGCCGUCGCCCGCGCCUGCCCUCCCUGCCAGAUGGUAGCCCGCUGCUUCUUCCCAGCUUCUCUCACUUGUCUGGAUUGUGGGUUUUUGAGCAAUCGAUGCUGGCUCUAGUAGCUUGACGAUCUUGCCGUCGCCAUUGGCGAGGAGAACAACUGAACAAGAUCUAGAUGUAAGCUAUGUCAGUGUUUGCCUAAACUUGCUCAGAUGUAAAUUCUAUGUUAAGAGUUACUUUAUGGUUUUGCUGGAUGUAGUUCCCAGUUAAGAGUUACUUUAUGGUUCUGCUGGAUGUAGUUUCAUGCUAAGAGUUACUUUCAUGAGUUCAGUAGAUGUAGUUUUUAUCUGAAGAGUUACUUUCAUGAUCUCUUAGAUGUAUUUAUGUAAGUGCUGAUGAUAUGUGAUCUAAUUGGGGUUGCUAUAUACGGAGUAGUGAUUGCUUGCUUGAUUA